CUAAGGAGCACUUCUCCACGACGCUCCGCACAGGUGGAUGUGGUUGUGGCAGAGACCGUUUGAGUCUCCAUUCGAGAGACCGCGGAAGCUCAUGGGUGGAACGCUGACAACCUCUCCGCAUCCGAGCCGGUCACAUGGCCGGCUCGCGGGGAUAUAUCGACACACUGUUGGGUCCUGAAAGAACACGCGAGUGUUUCUUUCUGGGAAAUCAAAACGAUCCGCUCGGAUUGUCGGUUAGUACCGCGCAGCGUGCUGUGGCUGGCUUCGAGGUUCGAUUCGAGCGGGUGUGUUGUUUGAGAACUGCACAGUGGACGCGAGCAUCUUUGUUUGUAAGUGUUUAAGAGCGUUC
rnacentral:misc_RNA from 1 species